rnacentral:rRNA from 1 species
CCUACGGGUGGCAGCAGUGGGGAAUAUUGGGCAAUGGAGGCAACUCUGACCCAGCAACGCCGCGUGAAUGAUGAAGGUCUUCGGAUUGUAAAGUUCUUUUCUAAGGGAAGAAGAAAGUGACGGUACCUUAGGGAUAAGCCUCGGCUAACUACGUGCCAGCAGCCGCGGUAAGACGUAGGAGGCAAGCGUUAUCCGGAGUGACUGGGCGUAAAGGGUGCGUAGGUGGUUUGACAAGUUAGUAGCGAAACUCCGGGGCUCAACUUAGGAACUACUACUAAAACUGUUGGACGUGAGUGCAGGAGGGGCAAUCGGAAUUCCUAGUGUAGCGGUGGAAUGCGUAGAUAUUAGGAGGAACACCAGUGGCGAAGGCGGAUGGCUAGACUGUAACUGACACUGAGGCACGAAAGCGUGGGAAGCAAACAGGAUUAGAUACCCGAGUAGUC